rnacentral:rRNA from 1 species
AACACGUGGGCAACCUGCCUGUAAGACUGGGAUAACUUCGGGAAACCGGAGCUAAUACCGGAUAAUCCUUUCCCUCACAUGAGGGAAAGCUGAAAGACGGUUUCGGCUGUCACUUACAGAUGGGCCCGCGGCGCAUUAGCUAGUUGGUGAGGUAACGGCUCACCAAGGCGACGAUGCGUAGCCGACCUGAGAGGGUGAUCGGCCACACUGGGACUGAGACACGGCCCAGACUCCUACGGGAGGCAGCAGUAGGGAAUCUUCCGCAAUGGACGAAAGUCUGACGGAGCAACGCCGCGUGAGCGAAGAAGGCCUUCGGGUCGUAAAGCUCUGUUGUUAGGGAAGAACAAGUAUCGGAGUAACUGCCGGUACCUUGGCGGUACCUAACCAGAAAGCCACGGCUAACUACGUGCCAGCAGCCGCGGUAAUACGUAGGUGGCAAGCGUUGUCCGGAAUUAUUGGGCGUAAAGCGCGCGCAGGCGGUCUCUUAAGUCUGAUGUGAAAGCCCCCGGCUCAACCGGGGAGGGUCAUUGGAAACUGGGAGACUUGAGUGCAGAAGAGAAGAGCGGAAUUCCACGUGUAGCGGUGAAAUGCGUAGAGAUGUGGAGGAACACCAGUGGCGAAGGCGGCUCUUUGGUCUGUAACUGACGCUGAGGCGCGAAAGCGUGGGGAGCGAACAGGAUUAGAUACCCUGGUAGUCCACGCCGUAAACGAUGAGUGCUAAGUGUUAGAGGGUUUCCGCCCUUUAGUGCUGCAGCAAACGCAUUAAGCACUCCGCCUGGGGAGUACGGCCGCAAGGCUGAAACUCAAAGGAAUUGACGGGGGCCCGCACAAGCGGUGGAGCAUGUGGUUUAAUUCGAAGCAACGCGAAGAACCUUACCAGGUCUUGACAUCCUUUGCCACUCCUAGAGAUAGGAUUUUCCCCUUCGGGGGACAAAGUGACAGGUGGUGCAUGGAUGUCGUCAGCUCGUGUCGUGAGAUGUUGGGUUAAGUCCCGCAACGAGCGCAACCCUUGUCCUUAGUU